GGAUCUAUUAAUAUCACAAUUGACUAUAUUCUAGCUAUCUAAAAUCAAUUAUCAAACUACAAAACACCAAGGCUUACUACUUCUGUCUUAAUUCAACACAUAAUCCAUUCUACGAAUAUCAAUUCAAUAAUACUUCCAUAUUCUUAUCAAUUCAUCUUCUACUUACUCUCUUUGUGAUUUAUAUAUAUUUAAUUACUGAUUUCUAGCUUACUUAUUAUAUUCAAUUUUUCAAUUCAUCACACAGAAUUCAAUAUCUUCACUUAACACAACAUAAUUCGAUAAUCUCAAUUCUCAAGGUCACAAAUUUUUUCCGAAACAGUCAAUCCAAAGUCAUAUUCCACAAUAUUCUAAUCACAGUUUCAACAAUACUUCUCUCAAUCACAAUUCUUCACAAGCAAAUAAUGAAAGCAAAGAAAACAAAGAGGUAGCACCAAGCUUAUUUCAGCUUACGACUCUCACAGUCUGGCCCCGCUCUCCUUUUUUUCAACCUCUUUAUCCUACCAAAAGAUGCAUCAUAUCCAGUAGAUUCCAAAGGUUAUAAACCUUUCAAUUCUUACUCAUUUGUUCCACUAACAAUCUACUGUUACCAACUAAACUACCUAACCAUAAGUCUAAUUCUCAAGGUUUUCAAUAACCAACCAAUAACUUACCACUAAAUUUAUUUACAUAUUCUACAUAGCCCCACUCCUAA
rnacentral:lncRNA from 1 species